UGGGGAAUAUUGCACAAUGGGCGCAAGCCUGAUGCAGCCAUGCCGCGUGUGUGAAGAAGGCCUUCGGGUUGUAAAGCACUUUCAGCGAGGAGGAAGGUGGUGAGCUUAAUACGCUCAUCAAUUGACGUUACUCGCAGAAGAAGCACCGGCUAACUCCGUGCCAGCAGCCGCGGUAAUACGGAGGGUGCAAGCGUUAAUCGGAAUUACUGGGCGUAAAGCGCACGCAGGCGGUUUGUUAAGUCAGAUGUGAAAUCCCCGGGCUCAACCUGGGAACUGCAUUCGAAACUGGCAAGCUAGAGUCUCGUAGAGGGGGUAGAAUUCCAGGUGUAGCGGUGAAAUGCGUAGAGAUCUGGAGGAAUACCGGUGGCGAAGGCGGCCCCCUGGACGAAGACUGACGCUCAGGUGCGAAAGCGUGGGGCAGCAAACAGGAUUAGAUACCCUGGUAGUCCACGCUGUAAAACGAUGUCGAUUUUGGAGGUUGUGCCCUUGAGGCGUGGCUUCCGGAGCUAACGCGUUAAAUCGACCGCCUGGGGAGUACGGCCGCAAGGUUAAAACUUAAAUGAAUUGAC
rnacentral:rRNA from 1 species